UUUUUCAUCUUCCACUUAAUUUUCUCCAAAACCAGCCCUAAUUUUCUCCAAAGACCAGCCCUUCUCCAUCAACGAAGAACCAACAAAUCCAUGCCUUUCCUUUCUUUUAUUCGGUGGAUAACCGUUAAAAUCACUACCACAGUCGUCCAUCUCCAUGACUACGAGCUUUACAUCCGGUCACAUUCGAUUUUGAUUGAGCCUCAGAGCUAUGUGAAAGCUCCACUCUCCUCUAUAACCCUCUGAAAAGGGAGGAAUGUGGAGGUUCAAUGGUCUUUGGAUCGUUCUUCUUUUAAUUUUGCAGACAAAGAGCUUAUCUUUCUUGAAAAACUCAAGCCAUCUACAUCAAAUUUCCAACCCAUCUGAAAAAGAUUUGAUUUUUUGGGACAUGAACUUACCUGUGAGUGACGGGCAGAAUUUGGUUGGUUUCUAUCCCCUGCUCAUGUUUUUUUUUGGCGAUUAUUACUUUUGGUUUGCUAGUUGCUAGAAUAAACCCACGAUCUGUUAAUUUCUAAUCAUUUAUACUUUUCUCAGGUUAUCUUUUCCUUAGUUUGACAUCGUAAAAAGCAUAUUUUCGGAUAUUAACCAUCUGUGCAUUCACUUGAACGAUCUUCGGGUUUAGUUAGGAUUACUCUCUCGGCGUGAACCAUUUUUAGCUAAUUAGGAUCUAUGUACUGAAUAAUAAGUUAUGAAUAAUAAGCACUCUAUCCAUUAUAAAAUUAUGUAGGUAUAAAAAUUGUUUAAAAUGGUUUAUUGUCAUGGGACUUAGGAUUUUGAAUGUGUUGGACGUAUUUUUUAACCUUUGCAUUAGUGGUUUUAUUCUCGUGGGUAUUUUGGUGCGUUCUAACUCCCUUUGUUAAUUUUUAUGUCAUUCUAAUCUUUUUCCUUUUAUUAUUUCACAUGUACGCUCGGGAGCGCAUUUGGAGUCUCAUGGCGUGACUCCAUCUCUGUCCAAAUCAGAGAAGCGAACAAUUGAUGAAUUAUGUGUCUUUCUCUAGCAGUUCAGGUGUUCAGUCUCAGCAGCGUGAGUGAUUUCCGAGCAUCUCAUUUACAUCCCUGCAGUUGGUGAGUCCUUAUAGUUCGGGGACUUAGCUAUUCAUAAUUCAGUUUAUUAGUAGGCGUUUCAUUAUUUAUUUCAGAAAGUUAAGUUAGCUAGGGCCUGUCCCUGUGACUCUCUAGACUUAGUCAGUAGAGGCUUGUCGGACUACUAGAUUCAAUUUUAGACUUUUAAUUCAGUAUUAGGAUUUUUAGUAUUGUUUUACCAAGACUUGUGAGAUUAGCAUGUUUCAGAUAAGAUUUCCGCAUUGAUUAUGAUUUCACAUUUCAUAUCCCCUCUAUUUUGAGAUUCAAAUUCAGUAGAAGACAUCCAUGGUUAGCUCAGAACUACUUGUAGUUCGGAGCACCGUGUGGCAUCCCGGGAAUUAAAUUUCGGGGCAUUACAAACUCGUGCUCAUGGAUGUCAGAGCUUCUAUUAAGCUCUCCUGAGUUAUGUUGUCUUGGCCCAAGUUCAAUAAUACCUGUGAGAGUGCAGCUAGCCAGACAUGUUAGCCAAAGUUGAGGAGGCCCUGAUUCAGAGUUUCCCUUGUCACUUGAGUUAGGUAAGAAGGGUUCUAAAUGAGGAUUGUGAUUUUCCUUCCUUCCACCUCCAGUGAUAGUGGCAAUGUCAUCCUUGUCAAGCUCAUCUCCAACCAUGACGUUGAUUGAUGACUCGGUGGCAGUGGUUCUGAGUGAAGAGUCAAUGACAUUUCUGAGCUUGAGGAAGGAAAUGCCAUUGCAGGAGUUAUUAGAAGAAAAAGAGUUUGCGUGAGUGGGAAUGUUCUGGGUAGGAACUCCCGCCUUAAGAGGGAAGCCAAGAGUUUCGGUAUAAUUGACUAUCAAUACCAUAUGUUACUCUCCUUGUACAAUUUUUUGUGGUAUUAUGUCACGCCUCAAAUCCUUUGGGGCGGACUGGCACCAGUAACCGAGGAGGCCCGGGAGAACCAGCUCAUAACCUUAUACUUCCCAUGCAUACCUCUAUGACAACCCGAAAUUCGGACAGCAUCAUGUCGCAUAUAAAAGGAAAUAAUCACUUGUAUAAGCUCAAGCACACAUAUAUAUAUGUAUAUACAAUACUUGGCCGUUGGAGCCAUCACGUCUAUUAACAAAACACCACCUUGACUGUACAUUAGGUCUACAAAGCCUCUAGACAAUACACAAAGUUUAACUAAGGUCGGGACACACCCCGCCAUAUAACUUCUAUACAAUACCAAAAGUGACUGGAUAUGACACGGAAAGCCCCGAAGCAAACUAGAGCUUACCAAAAGCAGCUGAAUAUCCUGGCUCCAACUUGUGCGGUGUAUGAGCUGAGGUACCUGUGCUUGCAGCAUGAAAUGCAGGUCCCCCGUGGGGGACGUCAGUACAAAAUAUGUACUGAGUAUGUAAAGUUGUAGAUAAUCACAUAAGAUAUAGGAGCUCAAUAGAAAUCAGAAACAAGUGAAUAAAUCGUAAUAGGAGUGGACCACACUUACUAGAACUUGUGACAACCUGUACAUUGUAUUUAUUCAAUCACUUUACCUUCGUUCUUAUCAUCUUUGUAAUCAUUACUGUACUGUACUGUGACCAUUAGGCUGCCUCCAGUACAUUCAACUGGGAUCGUCCCAUGAUAGGCUUAUGCCCUUGGGAUACCACCCAUAAACACAUAAAUAGGGAUCGACCCAUGAUAGGCUUAUGCCCCUGGGAUACCACCCGAUAAGAGAGAACUUCCAUCACUUAGUUCAAUUAAUCUUUGAGAUUGUUAUUUCGGUCGCCACCGCAUUUUUGAUACUUUGAAAUAAUGAUACAUCAAUAAGAGACAUAUAAGUAGACCAUCAAUGCAAUAACGAUGAAGUAAGAACUCAUUGGCACAUCAAUGAAGUGUUUUGGAGUCAUCAAUAAGUAGGAACUUAUUGGUGUAUCAAUGAAACGUUUUGGAGUCAUUAAUAGCACAUGGAUCUUGUUUGAGUAAUCGGAUACCUUCUGACAUUCAUUAGUGCAAUAAACAUGUAAGAUUUGGAAAACAAGUAAGUAUUGGAAUGUCUUGACAUCUUGUAGGGUGAAAACAAGUUCAUUGGUAACGUAGGACAUCAUACAAAAUCAUUAUGGAUCACAUGUUAUUGAAUAACUUUGGAAACUUUCUUAAUAGAACAAUUGUUCACUUUCAUGCCAAAGAUAUGAUAUAGAGUAUGCUUUGCAUACCUGACUGUCAACCUUCAAUACUAGUCCCAAAUGGACUUCCCGUCUUUUCGGAUUACUUAUCUACAAUGAACAUAUAUAACAAUCUAGUAUUAGCAACCAAACGUCACAAUUCAAUUAUUUGAAUUCACCAAACUAGUGGUUAAGUAGUAAGCCUUAAUUACACCAUAAAGGGUGUCACUUUAACCCUCUUAUACUCCAAUUACAUUCACAUGCCAUGCAUAUUCAUACAACAUCCUCCAAUAUCAAGUUUGGAUUCAUUUAUCCUUCUAACCAAUCCAUUAAACCAAAUUGAGUCAUAGACAUAAAUAAUCAUCAAUUCAAUAGUAUAUCACCAUAUCCACCUUCCAUAACUCAAUUACCAUAUCCACCUUCCACAAUUCAAUACAACCAAACCAUGCAAAAUAGUCCAUAACCCUAUUUCCAUCACCUUUCAAUAACAAUCAAUACAGAUAAUUCUCUAUCACACAUAUACAUAUGGAAAAGAAUAAAGACAAACAAUAUUCAUACCUUAGAAUUCACCUCUUGAUUAUGCAAUCCUGUUUGCACAAAUAAUAGGUGCCGUUCAAAGCUCUCGAGAUGACAAACACAGUUAUCAGAUUACUUUGGAAUUUCUACGGUUGAAUCAAAAGUAAUUUAAAGGUCAAAUUUAAAUAAUGUCAAAUCUGUCCUAUUAUAUUAUGGACGGGAAUAUGUGUAUAUCACUUCUACUGAGGAUGUGCAAGUUGCGGAAGAUCUUACCUAUGAGGAAGUGCCUAUUGCUAUUCUAGAUCGCCAAGUUAAGAAGAUGAGAAAUAAAGAAAUAGCAUCUGUGAAAGUACGUUGGAGAAAUCAUCAAAGGGAAGAGAUUACAUGGAAGCUGAGGAAGCAAUGAAAUCUAAGUAACCUCAUUUGUUCAAAGAUGAAGAGGAAAUUCAAGAAACGGAGUUAGAACAUUAACAAGUCCUAGCUCGAGUGUGCCUCAACUUGCUUGACUCGGGCGAUUGUUGGAGCUUUCAAGGGAACGGUUGGACACUCAUACGUUCGAUGUUCACUUCUAUCUUUCUAUAAUAGUUUUGUCUUUAUUAGUAAUCGGAGACAUAUUAUUCCUUUGUGGUUAUUUUUCUAAUGUCUUUGACUCCUGAAUUGUAUUAGUAGUUCUUAUACGAUUGACACCUGGUUUUGGGUAUGAUUGGUAUUUUGGA